AGAUGUGAGGGUGAUCUAACUAUGACAUGUAUCACCCUAUUGAUCACCAGGGUGGAUUUGUCUGAUCUAACUGGCUAGUCAGGUGCCUCUUUCCUCCCUCACCACUCCAUGUAUUUCUUCCUGAAAGCUGCACACUUGGUGGAAAAGGAUGACCAUCCCAUAUAGAAAGAGCGUACCAAUCUUCAGUCAAGGGUAUAUAAUAGCUGCAUGAGACAGUCGCUAAAUGGGAACUAUCUGUAAUAAGAUAGAAUAAUCUAUUAUUCUUAAAGUAACUCACUAAU
rnacentral:snRNA from 1 species